UGUUUUUUUUUGUAGCGCUAGAUGGCGCUCUUCCAACAGUUCCCGCAAAAUGCCCGUGAAGGAAUUUCUCUUUGAUGUUGCAGCCGGUGAACCAUCGGCCCGAUCCACUUCCUCGCUUUAAGCGGUGGAUGUGAUUUUUUUCCCUUCGUCUUGCGUUGAGCCUUAGGUGGAAAAACUUCGUGUUGGCGUUGCCCUCUAUGAUGUUGGCUAUGCGAGCAUAUUGCUUUUUUCUUGCCCUUUCCACCACAACCAGACUAACUACUUGGUGCUUGAGCCCUUCCGGAGGUCGUGAUCCUCCGUCGAUAGAGGAUCAGUUUCCUGCGCGAUGUCGAGCCGAAGAAUGACAAGGAGAGCCACAUGGAGGUGCACCUUAGCCUUGGAGAAAACCUUUCUACUCCAUUUCACGAGUAGCUGCCCAUUUCCUUGAGCUUGUGAAUUAACCUUUGGCACAGCUCUUCAUGAACGUUCUCCUCAUCCCAGGCCUUUUGCACAAUCUCAGUGAAUACCGAAAUACUUGUCCAAAAACUCUCAACUUUGAAACGCCUCGGUCUUUUGGCCCCCUAUUAUCCGCCAGAAGGACCAGACAAUGAUCUAAUAACAAAGAGGAGAUGGCAUGGAGCACAUGGAAGUUGAACUUCAUAUCCCACUCGGCAUUGUAGAAAAGAGUCGAGUUUACAGAGGGUAGGAUUCAGUCUCCCGUUGCUCCAGGUGAAGCGAUGGUUUUGAAGGUGUAUCUCUUUAAGCUCGCAUGUGUCAAGGGCGGGAAGGAAAUGAUUGAGGCUGCUACAAUUUAUGUUUCUUUUGUUCUUGUCUCUAGCCAGGUAGAUUUAGUUGAAGUCGCCUAGAGCCAACCAUUUUACAUCAUUGAUUGGCUUUUGUGUUGUGAGCUCAUUGAAGAAGUCAUUCUUCCUACCCGAGGUGGUAGGCCCGUCAUAAGCAUAAGUGAUUAGUUCAAAACCAUGACCGAGGCAUUGUCCCGCAACAGUAGGAUACUCCCAGGGGUUCCAAUUCACUCUGUGCAUUUUAAAACCGAACCGAAAAACCAUACCGAAAAUAAACCAAACCGAACCGAUUUUUUUGUUUUUAUGGUUUCUGGUUUCGGUAUGUUAUGAACUUUUCAUACCGAUUUGAACUUUGGUUUUUAUGGUAUAUACCGAAAAAACGAAUGGUUAACCGAAUAAACCGAAGUAAAAGAUAAAUUUGUAUUUCUUGAGAUGAACAACCGUACAAGUUGUCAUUUUUCUUGUACAUGAGUCAAAUUCACUACUAAGCACCUACAUUUUUCUUGUAACAUUGUCAUUUUUCUCUUUUUAAAAUGCUAAGCACGUCCAUAACCAUCAACAGAUGAAUCAAUGCAUGCAUAUAUACUUAUAUAUAUAGUCAUAUACUAUUUGUGUAAAAUAGAAUGUGUUUUGAGUCAUAAAUUUGCAAAUUAUUAUUACGUCAUUUUCAAAUUCGCGUCAACUUUGGUUUUUAUGGUAUAUACCGAAACCAUACCGAAAUAAUUUGGUAUAUACCGAAACCGAACCGUAUUUUAAUUUCAUACCGUAUUUACCGAAGUAUUAAUACCGUACAUACCGAAAAACCGUAUAAACCGAAUCAUGUAAACCGAAUAAACCGAACGCACAGGGCUAGUUCCAAUUGCUGGCCUCUAUCAUAUGCCGGUAAGGGCGCCAGUUCUGAUUUUCUUCGGUCUGGUUUUUUAAACUACGCUCUGCGCAAAGCUGCGAAGUUUUUGAUAUAUAUCGUAUGUUGCAGACUUGUUAUACAUCUAAAUAAUGUUAAAUAUUGCCUGAAUACAAACGGAAUGCUACCAUAGUAAAUGCCAAAUGCUGAAUGUCCCUUAUAGUCUUCAGCCACUAGACGAAGAUGACCGUUUCACAAGCAACUUAAUGGUCAACAAGCGGCACGUUGACAGUACUCUGGAAGCCCUACAAAUUUUCUAUUGCACAUUGGGGAUGAGAAACAUCUCCAUGACAUAUUCGGAAAUAAAUUAAAUUUUCUGUGAGUCAAGGACCACAUCUAACACAAAAGCUCCAGCCACCAUCUGCUAUUCUGCUGUCCAUCACCUCUGGCUUCAAGUAGAAAUCUUGAAAACAACUCUGAAGACUCAAAUGUUUUGGAACACAGAGCAAUAUCAGCACCGUAUGAAAUGUUUUGUCAUUUCUUCAAUACAGCAUCAUGCAGGAGCUUAUUCAGAAUUAGCACUGUCAAAAUGUGGUGCUCUUAUUAAGAUAUCAGACUAACAACGACACCACAUUCUCAUAUAUGGGAGGGAGGGGCCUCCCAGCAUGCCAGCCAAGUGAAGUAUUAUGCCAUUACAAACAAGAUGUUUUAUGCUUCUGCUGCAGCGCUCUCCAAUGUACAUGCACCUGAAAAACCCGGGCUCAAGACUAUAGGUACAGAAAGAAAGAAAGAAAACAGCAGAGAGCAGAGGAAGGACAAGUCAAGGAAACAAAAGGCAAGGAAACAAAAGGCACACCACUACAAUACCACUACCACAACGACAUCAGCAUCAAUCUAGAAUCUACACUGCCGAUCACCCGAA
rnacentral:lncRNA from 1 species